rnacentral:rRNA from 1 species
UACGUAGGGUGCAAGCGUUAUCCGGAAUUACUGGGCGUAAAGCGUGUGUAGGUGGUUUGUUAAGUUAAAUGUUAAAUCUUCAGGCUCAACUUGAAGGCUGCAUUUAAUACUGGCAGACUUGAGGACGGUAGAGGUGAGUAGAAUUAGUGGUGUAGCGGUAAUAUGCGUAGAUAUCGCUAGGAAUACCAAUGGCGAAGGCAGCUUACUGGUCCGUACCUGACACUGAGACACGAAAGCGUGGGGAGCGAACGGG